GGCUGCCCAUGGCCAGUUAUGACCUCGCCUAGUGGUUCCCCGGCGGCCGCGCCCGCGCCAGCUGCCGCUUCCGGCGGUAGCCUUCAACUCCCGCGUCACCCAACCGCACGUGCCCGACUCGCCGCCAGUAGAUCUGGCGGCCGCCGCGGAGCUAGUCGAGCAGUCCGUGGGCAGAACAGAAAGCGCGCCGUUCCUGGCCGUGGGCAGGCCGCCGCGGUGAAGGCCAACUCCGGCCUCCCCGUGGGCUUCGCCCCCUCCUGUGCCACCUCCCCGUUCGGCGGAUUCAUCCGGUUCAACCCCGGCCAGCAGCCCUGUUCGGAUGCAUGCCCCAGUACGCGCUGCUCCGCCUCGCCUGAUACAGCGGCGUCACGGUGUGCUCCAAAGUCCGAAGGCUCCAUUUCCUUUGUGUUUGUAGCGGGGCGUAGGAUGAUUUUGUGCUACAUUUUAAGAGUUUGCAAAGAGAGGUCCGCUGUUGAAUUACCAAGUCCACAGAACAAUUUCUACCGGGUGCUCUGAAGUCCCAAAUUGGUUUGCUACAUGAUCAAACAAAUUAUGUAUUUUACAGUUCGGCGAUCCUUUUAUAACUUCAAAAUUCACUUCCAGUAGUGUGAUAACAAGCAGUUAGUCAUUGCUGCAUGUGGCUGGUCUGGUCGGUUCUGACAAAGGGCAGCAGCACACUAUGAGAAUGCGGUUAUUUAUUCUGAUGCCCAUUGUGCUCAGUAAAUGGGAGUUUGAUUAGAUAAAUCAAUUCUCGCAGGCAUUGCUAAGUCACCAUAGAUGAGGGUGCAUCUGUUGAAGCCGAAAGUAAUGACAAUUCACAGAGUAUGCUCUAUGCAAAGAAUUGCCACCAGGAGGCUGCUGGGACAAUGUCAUAAUUUCAGGGGAGCUUCCUUCUGGGUGGGGGAAUGCCCUUCGAGUUACUGUUCUGGACCCCACAUCUUGCCCAUUCAACAUUUCAUCAGAUGUCAUAACAUGUGUUGGAUUUUCAAUAUUCUGUUCUGUUUGUUUGCUUUUGCUGAUAGCCCUUCUGAUGCUUCAGGGAACUGUUCUGAAUAGUAGGCGAAUGUUUUGCUAAAUUUACCAGGAUUUCUUGGAUAGCGCUGACCUUGUGACAUCAAAUAUGCUAUCUGCGUACCCUUGGGCUUUUGAAGCAGCUACGCUAGCUGUAAAUAAUGCUCUUUCUGAAUAAGUCGUUUGCUUGCCAGCUUAAUAAUGCGUAGAGAGUUUUCUCAAUCCUAUUGCUGCUUCUCAUGUACAGUAGAAUUGUUUUCCUCACUUUGUCAGAUGCAUUUUUUUUCUCUCUAUCAGAUGU